CCUGGUUGUUCCUACCAAUAGUCAUAUGAUUGUCUCAAAGAUUAAGCCAUGCAUGUGUACGUAUGAACUAACUUAGACUGUGAAAUUAUGAAUGGCUCAUUAAAUUAGUUAUAAUUCAUUUGAUGGUAUCUACUACUUGGAUAACCAUAGUAAUUCUAGAAUUAAUACAUACAACAACCCUGACUUCUGGAAAUGAUGCAUUUAUUAGAUAAAAGGUCGAUACAGGUUUCGCCUGUUGCUCUGAUGAUUCAUGAUAACUUGAUGGAUCGCAUAACCUUUGUGCUAGUGACACAUCAUUCAAAUUUCUGUCCUAUCAACUUUCGAUGGUAGGAUAAUGGCCUAUUAUGGUGGUGAUAGAUGAUGGAGAAUUAGGGUUCAAUUUUAGAGAAGGAACCUAAAAGAUAGCUACUAUAUCCAAGGAAAAUAGUAGGUGUGCAAAUUACCUAAUCCUGAUAUAGGGAGGUAGUGAUAAUAAAUAACAAUAUCGUGCUCUAUAAGUUUGGUAAUUAGAAUGAGCACAAUCUAAAUCCCUUAAUAAGAAUCCAUUAGAAGGUAAGUUUGGUGCUAGCAACUGUGGUAAUUGCAGCUCUAAUAGUGUAUAUUUAAGUUGUUACAGUUAAAAAGUUCAUAGUUGAAACUAAGGUUGGAUCGUUCGAUUUGUCUCAUGAUGAGCACCUGUCCACUUAUCCUUAUUGUCAACAAUGCACUUCUAGUCUUAAUUGGCCAGAUCAUUCCUUUGGCACUGUUACUUUGAAGAAAUUAGAGUGCUCAAAGUAAGCCUAUGCUUGUAUACAUUAGUAUAGGAUAACAUUAUAAGAUUUCGGUCCUAUUGUGUUGGCCUUUGGGUUCAAAGUAAUGAUUAAUAGAGACAGCCAGAGGCAUUCAUAUUUCAUAGUCAAAGGUGAAAUUCUUGGAUUUAUGAAAUAUGAACAAUUGCAAAAGCAUUUGCCAAGGAUGUUUUCAUUAAUUAAGAAUGAAAAUUAGAGGCUUGGAGGCAAUCAAAUAUUGUCCUAGUCUCAACCAUAAACAAUGUUGACCAGAGAUCGAUGGAUGUUAUUUUUAAGACUCCAUUGACACCUUACAAGAAAUCAAAGUCUUUAGGUUCAGGGGGAAGUAUGGUCGCAAGGUUGAAACUUAAAGGAAUUAAUGGAAAGGCAUCACCAGGAGUGGAACCUGGGACUUAAUUUGACUCAACAUAGGGAAACUUACUAGGUCCAAACAUAAUAAGGAUUGACAAAUUAAGAGUCUUCUCUUGAUUCUAUGGAUGGUGGUGCAUGGCCAUUCUUAGUUGGUGGAGUGACUUAUCUGGUUAAUUCCAUUAACCAAUGAGACAUUAGCCUACUAACUAGCUACGCGGAGGUGAUCCUUCAUGGCUAGCUUCUUAGAGGGACAAUUUCACUCAGGCCAAGGAAGUUUAAGGCAAUAAUAGAUCUAUGAUGCCCUUAGAUGUUCUAGGUUGCACACAUGCUAUACUAAUGUAUUCAACGAGUCUAUAGCCUUGACCGAUAAACCUAGGUAAUCUUUAAAAUUUCAUUAUGAUGGUGAUAGAUCAUUACAAUUAUUGGUCUUCAAUGAGGAAUUCCUAGUAAGCGUGAGUCAUCAGCUUGCGUUGACUAUGUCCUUGCCCUUUAUAUGCAUUGCUUGUCACGUAUAUUGAUUGAAUAGUCUAGUGAUGUGUUCGAAUCACAGUAAUGUAGAUGGUUUGCUACUUGUGAUGUCGUGAGAAGUCUAUUAAACUUUAUCAUUUAAAGGAAGGAGAAGUCAUAACAAGGUUUCCGUAGGUGAACUUAUGAAAU
rnacentral:rRNA from 1 species